UUAUUUGAGAGUUUGAUCCUGGCUCAGGAUGAACGCUGGCGGCGUGCCUAACACAUGCAAGUUGAGCGAUUUACUUCGGUAAAGAGCGGCGGACGGGUGAGUAACGCGUGGGUAACCUACCCUGUACACACGGAUAACAUACCGAAAGGUAUGCUAAUACGGGAUAAUAUAUUUGAGAGGCAUCUCUUAAAUAUCAAAGGUGAGCCAGUACAGGAUGGACCCGCGUCUGAUUAGCUAGUUGGUAAGGUAACGGCUUACCAAGGCGACG
rnacentral:rRNA from 1 species